rnacentral:rRNA from 1 species
AUUGAACGCUGGCGGCAUGCUUUACACAUGCAAGCCGAACGGUAACAGGUUAAGCUGACGAGUGGCGAACGGGUGAGUAAUGCAUCGGAACGUGCCCGAUCGUGGGGGAUAACGCAGCGAAAGCUGCGCUAAUACCGCAUACGAUCUGAGGAUGAAAGCGGGGGACCGUAAGGCCUCGCGCGAUCGGAGCGGCAGAUAUCAGAUAAGGUAGUUGGUGGGGUAAAGGCCCACCAAGCCGACGAUCUGUAGCUGGUCUGAGAGGACGACCAGCCACACUGGGACUGAGACACGGCCCAGACUCCUACGGGAGGCAGCAGUGGGGAAUUUUGGACAAUGGGCGAAAGCCUGAUCCAGCAAUGCCGCGUGCAGGAAGAAGGCCUUCGGGUUGUAAACUGCUUUUGUACGGAGCGAAAAGGUCCUCUCUAAUACAGGGGGCUCAUGACGGUACCGUAAGAAUAAGCACCGGCUAACUACGUGCCAGCCGCCGCAGUAA